GACGAACGCUGGCGGCGUGCCUAAUACAUGCCAGUCGAACGAGAGCGACCGGUGCUUGCACUGGUCAAUCUAGUGGCGAACGGGUGAGUAACACGUGGUAACCUGCCCAUCAGAGGGGGAUAACAUCCGGAAACGGAUGCUAAAACCGCAUAGGUCUUCGAGCCGCCUGGCUUGAAGAGGAAAAGAGGCGCAAGCUUCUGCUGAUGGAUGGACCCGCGGUGCAUUAGCUAGUUGGUGAGGUAACGGCUCACCAAGGCCGUGAUGCAUAGCCGACCUGAGAGGGUGAUCGGCCACAUUGGGACUGAGACACGGCCCAAACUCCUACGGGAGGCAGCAGUAGGGAAUCUUCCGCAAUGGACGCAAGUCUGACGGAGCAACGCCGCGUGAGUGAAGAAGGUUUUCGGAUCGUAAAACUCUGUUGUUAGAGAAGAACAAGUGCUAGAGUAACUGUUAGCGCCUUGACGGUAUCUAACCAGAAAGCCACGGCUAACUACGUG
rnacentral:rRNA from 1 species